GAAACUGUNUGACUUGAGUGCAGAAGGGGAGAGUGGAAUNCCAUGUGUAGCGGUGAAAUGCGUAGAUAUAUGGAGGAACACCAGUGGCGAAAGCGGCUCUCUGGUCUGUCACUGACGCUGAGGCUCGAAAGCGUGGGUAGCGAACAGGAUUAGAUACCCUGGUAGUCCACGCCGUAAACGAUGAGUGCUAGGUGUUAGGCCCUUUCCGGGGCUUAGUGCCGGAGCUAACGCAAUAAGCACUCCGCCUGGGGAGUACGACCGCAAGGUUGAAACUCAAAGGAAUUGACGGGGGCCCGCACAAGCGGUGGAGCAUGUGGUUUAAUUCGAAGCAACGCGGAGAACCUUACCAGGUCUUGACAUCCCGAUGCUAUUCUUAGAGAUAGGAAGUUACUUCGGUACAUCGGAGACAGGUGGUGCAUGGUUGUCGUCAGCUCGUGUCGUGAGAUGUUGGGUUAAGUCCCGCAACGAGCGCAACCCUUAUUGUUAGUUGCCAUCAUUAAGUUGGGCACUCUAGCGAGACUGCCGGUAAUAAACCGGAGGAAGGUGGGGAUGACGUCAAAUCAUCAUGCCCCUUAUGACCUGGGCUACACACGUGCUACAAUGGUCGGUACAACGAGUUGCGAGCCGGUGACGGCAAGCUAAUCUCUGAAAGCCGAUCUCAGUUCGGAUUGGAGGCUGCAACUCGCCUCCAUGAAGUCGGAAUCGCUAGUAAUCGCGGAUCAGCACGCCGCGGUGAAUACGUUCCCGGGCCUUGUACACACCGCCCGUCACACCACGAGAGUUUGUAACACCCGAAGUCGNUGAGGUA
rnacentral:rRNA from 1 species